GGGGGGGGGAUUGACCCAAGCAUAAAUACAUGAUAUACUGUACAACGAUAUUUGACUAUUUCAUUCCUUCAGUGAGUUUACUUUAAUGGUUACGUUUCCAGUACUAUUGGUAUUGUGAAACAUACUAAAGUCUGGGUUUUGUAGCUUUAUUCCAUUGCUGGUCACGAUAAUUGGAUGAUUAAUUAUGGGUCCACAUCCCCUCAUGUGGUCUAGAAUUAACUGAACUGCUUGGCUGAGAAACUCGUCAUAUCUAUCGUUGUGUUGUUCAUGUACAUGUAUAUUCUAUUAAGCAGCUCCUAAGGGCUUGCUAAUUGAUACUAAAAUUGGAAAUAAGUGAAUUAUUUAUAUUUAUUUUUUCGGAUUUACCAAACUCGCCCGUUUUCAAUAUUUCAUAUAAUUUGUAAGAGUUGUAGAACUUUGUUUACGUGGCGUCAUCGUAUGAACAGGAAUGUUUACAGAUCUGAUGCUGCUAUUUCUUUGCUUAAGGAAUGCUACCUUAUACUGAAGUAAGUUUUUUUUUACCGUUUCCCAUCUGUUUAGCAUCUAUAAGUCGUUGAAAUACGUCGGAAGAUAAUGGUUCUACUUUUCUCGUUUUAUUGCCAAGUCAUUUUAGAUUUCAGAAAUCGUUUUAAAACAGUUUUCUACAUCAAAAUUGCUGUAAAUUAACAUUUUAUCUCCAUUAGGACCGGGAAUUUCUGAAAAUGCUUCAGUAUUACCCUCCAUAAUAGCCGUGUUUCGAGUUACUCCGGAACACAGUGUUUAUUCUGUGUUUAGUCACGCCGCGUCAAAAAUGUUCCACAGGGUUACUUCCGGUUUAUCGUUGUUUACCAACAGUCGACACUUCGUGUAUUAGGCCUAGGCUUAAUUUUGUCGAUCAUCAUGAAAUUGAAAUACAAAUUUAAUAGUUUGGGGUGUAUGCGGUACAUAUUUGUUUAUGAGCGUUUGAUAAGCUACUAUUGAUCUACGAAAUACAACGAAAGACUUCGUCAAGAACAGAAGAAGACGAUGCAUGUCGUGUAACUCACACAAGGCCCAGCUGUCUAGUAACCGGAGGGGUAAAGGAAAAGAACGUAUUAGACUCACUGAAACCUGUCAAACAGGUAUAUGGGAACAGGAUCAUUUUCCAUGCCUUUCACUUGAGGUCUUCAGUUUCAUCAUUAAUCAUCUGAAUGUCGGUAUGCCAAACUCUCAUGAUGUCAUGCCAUUACUGGAUAUUCCUUAACACUGGUUUAUUUAAGCCACACUACCUAUAACAUUGCCAAAAUAUUAGACUGAAAAUUUUCAAAUACACAAGAUUUGAAGCAGCAAAAGAAAAGAAUUACAUAUGUAUAACACACAAAAAAGAAGAAAUUAAUUCUCACCUGGCUGAUAUGAACUUUUUACUCCUUUUUAGCUCCCUUUCACUGCAUACCAGCCAAUAACUAGCAGUCAUUAUAUGCAGAUCAGCCAUUGUUAUCAACCUGUGUAUAUAUAUGUUGAAUGAAAUAUGAAUGAAAA